rnacentral:rRNA from 1 species
CAAUAGCGUAUAUUUAAGUUGUUGCAGUUAAAAAGCUCGUAGUUGGAUUUCGGAUGGGAUUUGCCGGUCCGUCGUUGCGAUGUGCACUGGCCAGUCCUAUCUUGUUGUCGGGGACUAGCUCCUGGGCUUCACUGUCCGGGACUAGGAGCUGACGAGGUUACUUUGAGUAAAUUAGAGUGUUCAAAGCAAGCCUACGCUCUGAAUACAUUAGCAUGGAAUAACACGAUAGGACUCUGGCUUAUCUUGUUGGUCUGUGAGACCAGAGUAAUGAUUAAGAGGGACAGUCGGGGACAUUCGUAUUUCAUUGUCAGAGGUGAAAUUCUUGGAUUUAUGAAAGACGAACUUCUGCGAAAGCAUUUGUCAAGGAUGUUUUCAUUAA